GACCUGGUGGUGAAUGGAUCACACCCACCUCACUUAGACAUCUCCUCGUACAUCUGUGGGAGUCCCGGUUCGAAUCCGGGCCAGGUCA